GAUGAUGAUGAUGAUGAUGAUGAUGAUGAUGAUGAUGACAAACUAAAGUGUGUAAAUUUCCAUCUUAUAGGUUGAAAAGAUAGCAGGAGCUAAAGGAGAAAAGUCUUUGAUCCUCUCUAGAACACUUGUAAAGAUGCUAUCUCCUGGCUAAUCUUUAUGCAGCCCUUUCUUAGUGUUCACCAUUGAAGGAGGCAUGGAAGAGGCUGAAAGUGUUUGGUUUUGGAAACAAGAUGAUCUCAAGAAAUCGACAAAUAAACUUACAGCAAACCAAUUGCCAAGUAAGAUGUGAUUGUCCUGGUACCCUGAAGGAAGCCUCCACAGAGUCCGAAGGGGUCAUGGAAGAAAGACUAGGAAUUUCUUCAAGUGUGAAAAGAGUUCCUUCUCUCAUCUAUGGGAUCAGCUUGUAGAACUGCUUAUAAUCAGCAAACAGGUACCUCUGUAAGCACAACUCAGCAUCCCAGCAGUACAACCAUAGUCUUCUGUGUUAACGUCUCAAAGGUGAAGAAGACCAAGAAAAACCAACGCCACUGUAUCAGGAAAAGGCCACAGCAAGCUGACAGUUUUAAUAGACAUCUGCAAAACCUUGCAGCUACACAGGCUCCAGAAUUCAGAAACGUUGGGAUUCACAAUACUGUACUAUAAAACGCCACAGAGUCCAGGGAGAACUCCAUAACGAAGUGAAUUUCUUAUUUUUCUGAUGGCCAUGUUUGAAUUGUCACAGUAAGUGGUAUAAAGACAGAAGAUUGCCUCGUAAACAGGGCGAGGUUUUGUCACAGGGAGUCAUAAGCAAAAGAACAAACCACAAUCGCCCUUUCACAGGUCUUCAGAACUUAGUGAGUUUUACACUUGCAGGUAGGGAUCUUCAUUCAUGGUAGAAACCCCAUGAACAAAACAGCAGGAGCAGGAGCCACUUUACAAAUCCUCAACUCCAAAAUUACAUUCCACCACCGUCACAAAACCUUUUAGUUUUGUUAUUGUCGUUAACUAAAGGACAGGUGCAAACAUUCUUUAACUCCACUGCCACUUCCUCCCAGUGGACUGAUGGCUGACAACUCUCGAGCAUUUUUAUUCUUGCUUGUUUGUUCUACUUCACUCCUUAUCUAGUUUAACCUAGACAGAUCGCUGAUUCUAUGAUGUUCCUGCCAGCACCCCAAAUCCUCUUUUGCCUGCUCUCAGAGCCAGUUGGCCACCUUGUGUCCUGGAUUAACUCCCUACCUCCUGCUUUCUGCCCCUCUGCACCACAGGAGCUGAAUGUCCCCAUGGUAGGUGAGUUGGUGAAGGAAAACUGCCCCCUCCUUCUCCCUCUAUUUCUC
rnacentral:sRNA from 1 species